AGAGUUUGAUCAUGGCUCAGGAUGAACGCUAGCGGCAGGCUUAACACAUGCAAGUCGAGGGGUAACAGGGAUAAGCUUGCUUUUCUGCUGACGACCGGCGCACGGGUGAGUAACGCGUAUACAAUUUACCUUAUACAAGGGGAUAGCCUUUAGAAAUGAAGAUUAAUACCCUAUGGUAUUAUGAUAUGGCCUCAUAUUAUAAUUAAAGAUUUAUCGGUAUAAGAUGAGUAUGCGUCCUAUUAGCUAGAUGGUAGAGUAAUGGUUUACCAUGGCUACGAUAGGUAGGGGCCCUGAGAGGGGGAUCCCCCACACUGGUACUGAGACACGGACCAGACUCCUACGGGAGGCAGCAGUGAGGAAUAUUGGGCAAUGGAGGCAACUCUGACCCAGCCAUGCCGCGUGCAGGAAGACUGCCCUAUGGGUUGUAAACUGCUUUUAUAGAGGAAGAAACCUAUCCAUGCGUGGAUAGCUGACGGUACUCUACGAAUAAGGACCGGCUAACUCCGUGCCAGCAGCCGCGGUAAUACGGAGGGUCCAAGCGUUAUCCGGAAUUAUUGGGUUUAAAGGGUCCGUAGGCGGGCAAUUAAGUCAGGGGUGAAAUCCCACAGCUCAACUGUGGAAUUGCCUUUGAUACUGGUUGUCUUGAGUUAUAGUGAAGUAGAUAGAAUGUGUAGUGUAGCGG
rnacentral:rRNA from 1 species